UACGUAGGGGGCAAGCGUUGUCCGGAAUCAUUGGGCGUAAAGAGCGUGUAGGCGGCCCGGUAAGUCUGUUGUGAAAGUCCAGGGCUUAACCCUGGAAUGCCGAUGGAUACUGCCGGGCUAGAGUUCGGAAGAGGCGAGUGGAAUUCCUGGUGUAGCGGUGGAAUGCGCAGAUAUCAGGAGGAACACCUAUAGCGAAGGCAGCUCGCUGGGACGUUACUGACGCUGAGACGCGAAAGCGUGGGGAGCAAACAGG
rnacentral:rRNA from 1 species